rnacentral:rRNA from 1 species
UACGAGGGGGAGCAAGCGUUGUUCGGAAUUAUUGGGCGUAAAGGGCGCGUAGGCGGUUUGACAAGUCUGAUGUGAAAUCUCUGGGCUCAACCCAGAGUCUGCAUUAGAAACUGUCGGGCUUGAGUAUGGGAGAGGUGAGUGGAAUUUCCGGUGUAGCGGUGAAAUGCGUAGAUAUCUGGAGGAACACCGGUGGCGAAGGCGGCGUUCUGGACUGCAACUGACACUGAGGAACGAAAGCCAGGGAGCAAACGGG